rnacentral:tRNA from 1 species
UCCCUGGUGGUCCAGAAGCUGAGACUCUGCACUCCCAAUGCAGGGGGCCAGGGUUCGAUGGAUCCCUGGUCAGGGAA